AGUGUAUUAUUCUUAUACGCAUGUUUUAUUUUUAAUUUCUUUAACAAAAGGGACUAAGGUUGACACCCAAAAGAAAACACAGUCAAUGAGAGGGCUGUGAAGGGAGCUCCCCACCGGCCACAGUCCACAGCACAUGUUGUACAUGUCAAAUUUAUACAGCCGCUGCUAAUUACCUCAUAUCAGAAAUUAAUCAUAAUUAAUAAUAAUCAAUAUUUCAAACUAAGAAAAAAGAGAGAGUGUGGACGGUGAAAUGGAGAUAUAUAUCCGGAAGUGUUGUUGGGAAAGUAAAAGAUAGAUAUGAUGGAGGAGAUAGACCCCAGAAGUGGUUUCUGCAGCUCCAAUUCAAUCUUCUACAGCAAGCGUAAGCCCCUCCCACUCCCUCCCAACAACGCCUUAGACGUCACCACCUUCAUCUCCUCCCGCGCCCACCGCGCCACCACAGCCUUCGUCGACGCCGCCACCGCCCGCCGCCUCACCUACACCCAGCUAUGGCGUUCCGUGGAGGGCGUGGCAGCCUCUCUCUCCGUGGACAUGGGGAUCCGAAAGGGCAACGUGGUCCUCAUCCUCUCCCCCAACUCCAUCCACUUCCCCGUUGUGUGCCUGGCCGUCAUGUCCCUCGGCGCCAUCAUCACCACCACCAACCCCCUCAACACCACCCGCGAAAUCGCCAAGCAGAUCGCCGAUUCCAAGCCUCUCCUCGCCUUCACGAUCUCUGAUUUACUCCCCAAAAUCACCGCAGCUGCACCCUCUCUACCAAUCGUUCUCAUGGACAACGACGGCGCCAAUAAUAACAAUAACAAUAAUAAUAUCGUGGCCACUCUUGAUGAGAUGGCGAAGAAGGAACCGGUGGCUCAGCGCGUGAAAGAGCGCGUGGAGCAGGACGACACGGCCACGCUGCUCUACUCCUCCGGCACCACGGGGCCCAGCAAGGGCGUGGUAUCGUCCCACCGCAACCUCAUAGCAAUGGUCCAGAUCGUGCUGGGUCGGUUCCACAUGGAGGAGAACGAAACCUUCAUAUGCACGGUCCCCAUGUUUCACAUAUACGGCCUGGUCGCCUUCGCCACGGGGCUUCUGGCUUCCGGCUCCACCAUCGUCGUGCUCUCCAAGUUCGAGAUGCACGACAUGCUCUCCUCGAUCGAGAGGUUCCGCGCCACUUACCUCCCGCUCGUGCCGCCCAUUCUGGUGGCCAUGCUCAACAACGCCGCCGCUAUCAAGGGCAAGUACGAUAUCACGUCGCUGCAUUCGGUGCUCUCCGGUGGGGCUCCGUUGAGCAAGGAGGUCAUAGAGGGCUUUGUGGCCAAGUAUCCCAACGUCACCAUCCUUCAGGGUUAUGGUUUGACGGAAUCCACCGGCGUUGGGGCCUCCACCGACUCCUUGGAGGAGAGUCGAAGGUACGGCACGGCGGGGCUCUUGUCUCCGGCCACCCAGGCUAUGAUCGUCGAUCCUGAAUCCGGCCAAUCGCUUCCGGUUAACCGCACCGGGGAGCUCUGGCUCAGGGGUCCCACCAUCAUGAAAGGUUAUUUCAGUAACGAAGAAGCAACCACAUCAACCCUUGAUUCAAAAGGAUGGUUAAGAACAGGGGAUAUUUGUUACAUUGACAAUGAUGGAUUCAUAUUUAUUGUGGAUCGGUUAAAGGAGCUCAUCAAAUACAAGGGAUAUCAGAGGAACCAAUGGGAAGAUAAUCGCAACACUAACAUACAGUUGGGAUACGAAUAUUGUGAAUCCUAUUGAAGGUCUUGAUGAUGUUUUAGGUUCCUCCAGCAGAACUAGAGGCCUUGCUACUGACUCAUCCUGCUAUUUUAGAUGCCGCUGUUAUCCCGUAUCCAGAUAAGGAAGCUGGGCAGCAUCCAAUGGCAUACGUGGUGAGGAAGGCUGGAAGUAGCUUAUCAGAAACUCAAGUUAUGGAUUUUGUUGCAGGACAGGUGGCUCCGUACAAGCGGAUUCGAAAAGUGGCAUUUAUUUCCUCCAUACCCAAAAAUCCAUCUGGCAAAAUUCUUCGGAAGGAUCUCAUCAAACUCGCAACGUCUAAACUCUGAAUAGAUGAGCUUUUUCGUAAUAUAUUUUUUCUAUCGGAGUUGGACAAGUGAGGAAAUAAUCUUUAGCUCCUUUUUUGCUGUAAUUUUCUGGCUUGUUUACUUUUGCUGCUUUCAUAUUAUCUGUUCUUUGUUCAACAGUCUAUUGUAAUUUGUAGAGAACAAAGUGCUGUGAGUACACCUUAUAGGCAAUAAAAUUGUCUCUUUGUAAUUUCUUUUUUCAAUUGGAAUAACUUCUCUAUCAGUUUGUCAUCA